UACGUAGGGUGCAAGCGUUGUCCGGAAUUAUUGGGCGUAAAGAGCUCGUAGGCGGUUUGUUGCGUCGGCUGUGAAAUCCCGAGGCUCAACCUCGGGUCUGCAGUCGAUACGAGCAAACUAGAGUGUUGCAGGGGAGACUGGAAUUCCUGGUGUAGCGGUGAAAUGCGCAGAUAUCAGGAGGAACACCGGUGGCGAAGGCGGAUCUCUGGGCCAUUACUGACGCUGGAGGAGCGAAAGCCGUGGGGAGCGAACAGG
rnacentral:rRNA from 1 species